rnacentral:rRNA from 1 species
CCAAGUCGAACCGGGAUCCACCGGGCUUUUGCCUUGUGCGUAAGAUUGGCGAACGGGUGAGUAAUGCGUGACCGACCUGCCCCAUACACCGGGAUAGCUCCUGGAAACGGGUGGUAAUGCCGGAUGCUCCAGUUGAUCGCAUGGUCUUCUGGGAAAGCUUUCACGGUAUGGGAUGGGGUCGCGUCCUAUCAGCUUGACGGCGGGGUAACGGCCCACCGUGGCUUCGACGGGUAGCCGGCCUGAGAGGGCGACCGGCCACAUUGGGACUGAGAUACGGCCCAGACUCCUACGGGAGGCAGCAGUGGGGAAUAUUGCACAAUGGGCGCAAGCCUGAUGCAGCGACGCCGCGUGAGGGAUGGAGGCCUUCGGGUUGUAAACCUCUUUUAUCGGGGAGCAAGCGAGAGUGAGUUUACCCGUUGAAUAAGCACCGGCUAACUUACGUGCCAGCAGCCGCGGUAAUACGUAGGGUGCAAGCGUUAUCCGGAAUUAUUGGGCGUAAAGGGCUCGUAGGCGGUUCGUCGCGUCCGGUGUGAAAGUCCAUCGCUUAACGGUGGAUCCGCGCCGGGUACGGGCGGGCUGGAGUGCGGUAGGGGAGACUGGAAUUCCCGGUGUAACGGUGGAAUGUGUAGAUAUCGGGAAGUACACCAAUGGCGAAGGCAGGUCUCUGGGCCGUUACUGACGCUGAGGAGCGAAAGCGUGGGGAGCGAACAGGAUUAGAUACCCUGGUAGUCCACGCCGUAAACGGGUGGAUGCUGGAUGUGGGGGCCCGUUCCACGGGUUCCGUGUCCGGAGCUAACGCGUUAAGCAUCCCGCCUGGGGAGUACGCCCGCAAGGCUAAACUCAAAGAAUGACGGGGCCCGCACAGCGCCGAGCAUCGGAUNAUUCGAUGCGACAGCUUCAGCCUAGUCGUGGCGCACGUCCUUAUACUAUAAAUGAUACAUAAAAAAAAAUCCCGCAUAUAUAAUAUAAUAGUCUUGAUACAAAAAAAAAAAA